rnacentral:lncRNA from 1 species
AUGCUACUUGAUACUCAAAUUGCAGGCUGUAAAUGCAGGGACUUUUUUCUGGGAGUUGCCUCCCCCUUUGCACGAUUUGUUUAUACAUUGUGUUUUUCUUGUAGGAUGUUUGCCAUACAACUGAACAGUGUAGAGUGGGAUGGACAACUACAAGGGUCAAUUUUUGCACCCGGGAGCAUUUCAGGGGGCCACCUCUUCCCACCAGGUCAGUGUAACACAAAACAGGCGGAAAAUACAUGGAUAUGGUUACAGAGGAAAGAAAUGGGAGAACAAUGUCUUCAUUCAAAUCUUCUUUUCUCUGCGCCCGUUCCCACCCAUUUGCGGACUUAAAUACAGAGUUAUAUCUUUUUUAAAAGGAAGAGAAAAACCAGCCUAAACAGUUGCCACCAUGUUGGAGAAAUUCAUCAUGACAACCUACAGCAAGGAGAAACAUAUGCAAAGCUCUUUUUAAUUCCCUCGGUUUCAGUGAUGAAGGCCUUCUCCUUGCAGAGUCAAUGUGUUGUUAAUUCAGGUAAGGUUACUACACACGCCAUAUAAUUGUUUGUACUGUUAUGUUUACGGGAAAUUGCUGUUGCAGUAUUUACAUCUUUUCAAUGCAUUGGCAUAUAAAGUAAAAUGUCUGUAUAUGCAUGCGUGUGAGAGUGGCUUAAGGGAGGCAGGGAGGGAGGGAGAGAGAGAAGAAACCCAUCCUCUAAUUGAUGGUAUUGUAUUGAGAGCCUGGCUUUUAAUGAAACCACACACUGGAAAUUCUAGUCUCCUGCAGUGGUUUAUGCCUCUCCCUCCUCCAGGGCAGAUUGGCCCAGACUGCACUUUCUUCCUGAUCCUAUAUUCAGAGUAAAUGGAUUGCAGUUUUAAAUGCACCACCCAAUGCUGCUGACUAAUACAAUCCAGCAUUGUUCCCCAGCUUCCGCCCACCCUCUCCCACCUCCUUGCCGUUACUAUCGAAAACACAUGUGCAAGACAUCAGGCGGUACAAUACCGCUGAUGUUUCACUUGUCUUGAUGAAGAAGAAUAUGCAAGGAGGAGAAGCUGAGCCACUCCCCCUCAAAUCUUGCCCUCGCGCUCUUCGAUGUUGCAGAGAAUGGCUUCCCCAAUAAGAUUAGAAGUGUCAGAAAAUGUAGUCGCAAUGGCAUUUGUGGCUUGCUGGCUUCUUUCCAUCCUACCUUCCCCCUCCCCUCCCUCCCACCACACCCAACCCUCCACCAUAAUAUUAGCACUGUAUAGGUUUAAUAAUUAGAUGAUUGGAGAGAUUUUGAUGAUGGAACACUUUCUAUGAUCUGCAAAAGACAGCAUCUGUUUUUCUCAUGUACCAAUUAAUUAUUGAUGCAACUGAAAAUGCAGUAGACCUUUUUUUCCCCUCCUCCCCCACUCCAUAUAGAAAGAGAAAUGUUGGGUGUUUUUUUGCAAGAUGAGGAGGAAAUUAUAUUAUACUGACCUUGAAAGGUGCUGAGAUAGACUGAUAAGACUGAUAGCGGUAUAGUAAAUACAUAGCUCUUUUCUUCUCAUCAUUGCCUAUGCCAACGUGGAACAUAGAACAAAUUCACCACCUUAAUUUUUUUUUAUUUCUAACCUGAAUUUUACUAGCACUUAAAAAUAGUACAAUCCUACUUACUGUUUCAUGUACCGGCUUUCUUUCUGGCCCCUAGAAAGAAAGCUGGUGAGCAGAAGGUUGUUCUUUCUGAGCAACCUUGUGCUUUGUGAAAAUUGCUGAAAACAUAUAGAUUAUUCUUUAGCUUUAUUUUAUUCAUAUUCUCAGAAAAAGUUGCCCAAACAGGAGUCUUCCUAAAGUUUGUCUGAAAGUGCAAUUGCUCUUUCAGUAUCUAGUAAUGUGAUUCCUCAGCAUAAUAACAAUUGUUUUGAUGCAUUUGACACCGUUCUUUUUUCUUUUUUAAAAAUGCCUUAACAGAAAAUUCAUAUAUACAUUUUCUAUAUUGUAGAAGGGUCACAGCUUGUAAUC